rnacentral:tRNA from 1 species
CGGAGGCGUAGUUCAGUUGGUUAGAAUGCCUGCCUGUCACGCAGGAGGUCGAGGGUUCGAGUCCCUUCGUCUCCGA